rnacentral:rRNA from 1 species
CAGCCGCCACGGUAAUACGAAGGGUGCAAGCGUUACUCGGAAUUACUGGGCGUAAAGCGUGCGUAGGUGGUGGUUUAAGUCCGUUGUGAAAGCCCUGGGCUCAACCUGGGAAUUGCAGUGGAUACUGGGUCACUAGAGUGUGGUAGAGGAUAGUGGAAUUUCCGGUGUAGCAGUGAAAUGCGUAGAGAUCGGAAGGAACAUCUGUGGCGAAGGCGACUAUCUGGGCCAACACUGACAUUGAGGCACGAAAGCGUGGGGAGCAAACAGGAUUAGAUACCCCCGUAGUCCCUGUCUCUUAUAC